rnacentral:rRNA from 1 species
GACGAACGCUGGCGGCGCGCCUAACACAUGCAAGUCGAACGGAGUUAGAGGUGCUUGCACCAUUAACUUAGUGGCGGACGGGUGAGUAACACGUGAGCAACCUGCCUUUCAGAGGGGAAUAACGUUUGGAAACGAACGCUAAUACCGCAUAACAUAUAUAAGUCGCAUGGCUGGUAUAUCAAAGGAGCAAUCCGCUGAAAGAUGGGCUCGCGACCGAUUAGGUAGUUGGUGAGAUAACAGCCCACCAAGCCGACGAUCGGUAGCCGGACUGAGAGGUUGAACGGCCACAUUGGGACUGAGACACGGCCCAG